AGAGCGAACGCUGGCGGCAGGCCUAACACAUGCAAGUCGAACGGACCCUUCGGGGGUUAGUGGCGGACGGGUGAGUAACACGUGGGAACGUGCCUUUUGGUUCGGAAUAGCUCCUGGAAACGGGUGGUAAUGCCGAAUGUGCCCUUCGGGGGAAAGAUUUAUCGCCAUUAGAGCGGCCCGCGUCUGAUUAGCUAGUUGGUGAGGUAAAGGCUCACCAAGGCUACGAUCAGUAGCUGGUCUGAGAGGAUGACUCAGUCACACUGAACUGAGACACGGUCCAGACCUCCGUACGGGAGCAGCGAGUAGGGGAAUGUUAGGACAAGUGGGACGAAGCUAGA
rnacentral:rRNA from 1 species